UGGGGAAUAUUGGACAAUGCGGGAAACCGUGAUCCAGCAAUGCCGCGUGAGUGAAGAAGGCCUUAGGGUUGUAAAGCUCUUUUACCAGGGAUGAUAAUGACAGUACCUGGAGAAUAAGCCCCGGCUAACUCCGUGCCAGCAGCCGCGGUAAUACGGAGGGGGCUAGCGUUAUUCGGAAUUACUGGGCGUAAAGCGCGCGUAGGUGGCCAAUCAAGUCAGAGGUGAAAUCCCGGGGCUUAACCCCGGAACUGCCUUUGAAACUGAAUGGCUAGAAUCUUGGAGAGGUGAGUGGAAUUCCGAGUGUAGAGGUGAAAUUCGUAGAUAUUCGGAAGAACACCAGUGGCGAAGGCGACUCACUGGACAAGUAUUGACACUGAGGUGCGAAAGCGUGGGGAGCAAACAGGAUUAGAUACCCCCGUAGUCC
rnacentral:rRNA from 1 species